rnacentral:lncRNA from 1 species
UAUAUAUAUAUAUACAUAUACAAUAUUUCUAUGUAUGUAUGUAUAUGUAUAAAUGUAUGCAUGUUUUUACAUAUGUGUGUACAUAUAUAUAUAUAUAUAUAUAUAUAUAUAUAUAUGUAUGUAUAUUAUAUAUAGUAUGUGUGUAUGUAUAUAUAAUAUAUACAGUAAUCACUCACCAUAUUGAGGUUUAUUAUUUAAGCUUACAUUGAUUCCUCCGAGGUGUUGUUUUGCAUUUAUAAUAAAAUAAAUAUAUGCAAAUUAUAAAAAUAAAAAAACAAUAUACAGUAUAGUACUGUUUCUACUUUGUGGAUUUUCACCUAUCACAGGGGUUGGGGGUUGGAAUGUAACACCCACAAUAGUCGAGGGAUUACUGUAUAUAAUGUAAAUGUGUAUAUUUAUAUGUAAUGUGUAUAUAUAUAUAUAUAUAUAUAUAUAUAUACACACACACAUACACACAUAUAUAUACACACACAUACACAUAUAUAUACAUAUAUAUAUAUAUAUAUACAUAUAUAUAUGUUUAUAUAUAUAUGUAUGUGUGUAUAUAUAUAUAUUAUAUGUCUGUGUGCAAAUAUAUAUUUGUGUGUAUGUGUGUGUGGAUAUAUAUCUAAACGUAAUAUAUUGUUUAUAAAUAUUAGAUGCAGGCAUGGCUAUGUGGUUUCGAAUUUCACCUCGAAACCACAUAGUUGCGGGUUCAAUCUUACUUUGUGGAUGCUGAAGACUGGCGCCCUAUGCCAUAACCCAAAAGCCAACCAAUACCUUGUUUGUGAAAUUGGUAGACAGAAACUGAAGAAGCCAAUCACACACAUACACUCGUAUAUAUAUUUCUUUACUACCCACAAGGGGUUAAACAUAGAGGGGACAAACAAGGACAGACAAACGGAUUAAGCCGAUUACAUCGACCCCAGUGUGAAACUGGUACUUUGUUUAUAGACCCAAAAAGGAUGAAAGGCAAAGUCGACCUCGGCGGAAUUUGAACUCAGAACGUAACGACAGAUGAAAUAGCGCUAAGAAUUUUACCCGGCGCGCUAGCGUUUCUGCCACCUCACCGCCUUAGAAGCGAUUUCUUUUCCUUCUUUUAGAUAUUUCGCUUUCUCCUUUCCGACAAAGAGCUAUGCUCGAAACAUUAAACUCUAUUUUUUUCACUGAGUGUCAAACUAAUACAUUUCUUGUGUACGUCCACUUGUCCAAUAAUUUUAUUAUUCGUUUUUUUUUUAACUGAUUGUUUAUUUGAUUCAACUAUAUAUACACAUAUAUAUAUACAUAUCCAUACAUAUAAUGUCCACAUAGACGCAAAUACAUAUUUUAUUUUUAUAAGAAAACGGUUGACAGUUACUUUGAAGAUUUUGUUGUGUUGUCCUCAUCAGACUGUCUGAUGAAGGUUACAUACACAAAACUUCAAAGUAUCUGUCAGCAUUUUCCCCUUUAAAUACAAAAUAAAUGUGUUAUUGCACUGAAAGUAUUCAGUGAAUGAGUUAUCCUUCAAUUUAAUUUGAACUGUUAAAAAUAAACAUAUUUUUAUACAUAUAUGUAUAGGCAUAGGAGUGGCUGUGUGGUAAGUAGCUUGCUUAUGAACCACAUAGUUCCGGAUUCAGUCUCACUGCGUGUCUUCUUCUAUAGCCUUGGGCCGACCAAAUGGAUUUGGUAGACGGAAACUGAAAGAAGCCCGUUGUAUAUAUGUAUGUGUGUGUAUAUGUUUGUGUGUCUGUUUGUCCUCCCAACAUCGCUUGACAACCGAUGCUGGUAAGUAGCUUGCUUAUCAACCACAUGGUUCUGGGUUCAGUCCCACAAUGAUUCAUGAGUGUUCUCUACAUGGUAUCGGCAAUGAGUAUAAGUACAAUUCAUGGUGCCAUUUAUAUGCCAUCCGUAGGCAUAGGAGUGGCUGUGUGGUAAGUAGCUUGCUUACAAACCACAUGGUUCUGGGUUCAGUCCCACCACGUGGCACCUUGGGCAAGUGUCUUCUACUAUAGCCUUGGCUGACCAAAGCCUUGUGAGUGGAUUUGGUAGACGGAAACUGAAAGAAGCCUGUUGUAUAUAUGUAUAUAUGUAUGUGUUACCCCGCCAAACAUUGCUUGACAACCGAUGCUGGUGUGUUUAUGUCCCUGUAACUUAGCGGUUAGGCAAAAGAGACUGAUAGAAUAAAUACAAGGCUUACGAAGAAUAAGUCCUGGGGUCAAUUUGCUCGACUAAAGGCGGUGCUCCAGCAUGGCUGCAGUAAAAGAAUAAAAGAGUAUGAGAUUUUGAUGGAAGGUUUUAAUUUAAGAUCACUUCAAAACAGGAAGUUUGUAUUCAUAGAGCCAUAGGUGGUCCUGGGUGGAUUGAUAUCUGAGGGGGAUAAUAAGUACUUCAUCUAAAUAAAUAUUUAUUAUUAAUUUUUUUUUGUUUUUUGACUUGUUUCAGUCAUUCAACUGUAAUCAUACUGGGGCACCGCCCCCGAAGGGUUUAGUAGAACAAACAAACCCCUGUAUUUACUUUUUAAGCCUAGUCCAGGCACUGCUUUGAAGGGUUUUGCUGAACAGUACUUGUUUUCAUUUUAAACCUUGUGGUUAUUCUUAUUUCUUUAUUGCCCACAAGGGGCUAAACAUAGAGGGGACAAACAAGGACAGACGAAUGGAUUAAGUGGAUUACAUCGAUCCCAGUGCGUGACUGGUACUUAAUUUAUCGAACCUGAAAGGACGAAAGGCAAUAUCGACCUUGGUGGAAUUUGAACUCAGAAUGCAACGGUGGACAAAAUACCACAAAGCAUUUCUCCUGGUGUGCUGACGUUUCUGCCAGCUCGGUUUCAUUUCCUGAACUGCUAAGUUAUGGGGACGUAAAUAAACCACCACCGGCUGUCAGAUGGUGGUGGGGGACAAACGCUUAUACAAUGACACACAUACACAUAAAUAUAUAUCUACAUGUCAUCAAUGCCAGGCCUGCCUAACUGGUUCCUGUGCCAGUGGUACCUAAAAAGCACCCAUUACAAUCUUGGAGUGAUUGGCAUUAGUUAGGAAGGGCAUCCAGCUGUAGAAACUCUGCCAAAUCAAUAUUGGAGCCUGGUGCAGCCAUCUGGUUUGCCAGUCCUCAGUCAAAUCGUCCAACCCAUGCCAGCAUGGAAAGCGGACGUUAAACAAUGACGAUGAUGAUGAUGAUGACGCACACCCACACACAUUGAUAGAAUAUUCUUCAUUGUGUAGUUGUCGUUGAGACAAUGUUUGCUGUGAAAGUACUAAAUUCCAAAUUGGUAAAUAUUCACUGAAAUUAUAUUGAGUUUAGCCUAUUCAAUUUACCUUCCAUGCAAGGUGCUUUACUCUUUUUUCUUUUUUUUUUUUAACAGAAAAAAAAACAAACCAUAAAAAAAACAGGGCUAAACCAGCUAUCGUUUUCAGUACAGUCAAUUAUAGAAAAAGUAAUAUCACAAUGUCACAUUUGAUAAACUCACCGUUUCUUUAAUAUUGGCUUUCAUAGUUAUGAAAAUGUGAUAUUGGCUUUCAGAGUUAUGAAAAUGUGAGAGGCUUAAAGGAAAUUACUCCGAUUCCUUAUCGGUGUUCCUGUAAUUAAAGUUGAUAGGAUGAGAUUUAUGUUUACUUAAUUUGUGUUUUUUUAAUGAAUUUAAAUGUAGCAGGUUUUGAAAUAAAAGGAAAGUUGUUUUUUUUUUAAAUUUUAUUUUAUUUUUAAACACUUCUACAUUUUGCUGUGGAAUUUUCAAAAAAUUUGAAUUGCAAAUUUUUAAAUGAUUAUCACAAAAUAUCAACAAUUUAAUUGGAGUCUUAUUUUCGCAUGCGGCCUUAUCUUAAAACAUUUUAUUUUUUCAUUAUACAUGUUAGGUAUAUGUAGGUGUUUGUUAGGUAGCCUCUGUGUGUGUGUGUGUGUGUGUUUGUGUGUGUGUGUAAAUGUUACUAUAGGAUAUAAAUGUGUAAUAACAUGUUUAUUGUGUGUGUGUGUGUGUGUACACAUAUACAUAUACUUAUGUGUUUAAUUAUAGUGAUAUCACUAUAUAUGUAAAUGUGAUGCUGAUAUUAAAAUUUAUAUGUUUAGAUACAAUAUACAGAGCAAGCUAUUUAUUCACCGAUAAUAUUAUCAAAUGGUUAUUGUUAUCAAUAAUAUUAAAGGUUCAAAAAGACUUUAUUAAAAACUGAUUCUCAGCUGGUUAUUGUUGUAAAGGGUUCUUUCCUAAGCAGAGCCUCAAUCUUCUCUGCAUAUAAAUGUAACCGAUUCCUACAGGGGGUAAUUGAGAAAGUUCAGAAUUGGCGCCAGUACUUGACUGGUACUUCAUGUAUCAGUCCCCAAAAUGAUGUAAAAUAAGUUGUCCUUUGCAGGAUUUGAACUCGAAACACAGAUUAUCCUUCUCUCCUCCAGUUACUCCCCCCCUAGUCUUAUGUAAUGUAAUGUAAAGUAGCCUCGUAUCUCCUCUACAGCAACGAAACUGUCCCCGUCUUUUUCAUACUUUAACCUCUUAACACCUUGCAUGUGAACAUAUAGUUCCACUCAGUCAAAAGUGAUCUUUGUUUUGCAAGCUACAAGGUACCCUCACUAGAGCUGGUACCUCAACAAAAGAAUCUGGUACACUCUGAAAAGUGGUUGAUAACCCAUGCCAGCGUGAUGGAUGUUAAAUGAAGAUUAUUAUGAUGGCGAUUGUUUAUUUUCUUGCUAAACUCCAAAUUUUUUCUGUGCUGUGAGUUGGACAAGGAAGGAUAUUUGUAAACUUUUAGCAUUCAGAUUUCUCUGUCAAAUUGUAAUACUCUUUUUUUACUUGUUUCAAUCAUUUGACAGUGGCCAUGCUGGAGCACCGCCUUUAGUCGAGCAAAUCAACCCCAGGACUUAUUCGAUGACGAUACAUGUGUUUGUGUUUUUAUCAUUAUGGUAUCACGAUAUCGACUGGACUAUUGGAUGGUGUUAAACAUCGCUGGUUACAAUGCACUUCACAUCAUUUUUUUAGCUUUCAAAUGAUGCGACCCUACUGGCUUGACAAGGAGGCCAACAUUCCCCCUCAUCUGAAGGCUAGUCUAUCACAGGGUUACCCAUUUACAGCUGGGUAGGCUGGAGCGAUAUGAAAAUAAUAACAAUAAUAAUCUUUUCUACUCUUGGCACAGGGCCUGAAAUUUUUGGAGAGGGAACCAGUCGAUUAGAUCAACCUCAGUACGCAACUGAUACUUAAUUUAUCGAUCCCAAAAGGAUGAAAGGCAAAGUCGACCUUGGUGGCAUUUGAACUCAGAAUGUAAAGACGGAUGAAAUGCUGCUAAGCAUUUUGCCCAGCAUGCUAAUGAUCCUGCCAGCUUGCCACAAUAAUAAUAAUAGUAAUAAAUAAUAAUAAUAAUAAUAAUAAUAUUUAUUAUUAUUAUUUCUUCUUUAGGCACAAGGCCUUGAAAAUUUUUGAGGAAGGGAGCUAGUUGAUUAUAUUGGCCCCAGUGCGUAACUGGUACUUACUUUUUUUUUCUACUCUAGGCAUAAGACCUGAAAUUUUUGGGGAGGGGACAAACAAGGACAGACAAAGCGAUUAAGUCAAUUCCAUCGACCCCAGUGCAUAACUGGUACUUGAUUUAUCGACCCCGAAAGGAUGAAAGGCAAAGUCAACCUUGGCGGAAUUUGAACUCAGAACGUAGUGGCAGAUGAAACAUCACUAAGUAUUUAGCCUGGCAUGCUAACUAUUGCCACCUUAAUAGUAAUAAUAAUAAUAAUAAUAAUGAUGAUGAACUUAUUGGAUACAGUGCUCAGGUGCACUACAACUCGUCAGAGAAAGUAACCAAAGCUGCAUGAACAGUACAUAGAAUAUGCACAGGAAGCAAACAGUGAAAAAGUCUAAAGAAAAAAGGAAAAGAGGAAGAUGCACUGUCCGAUCUAGGAAUUGAACCCAUGUUCUAAUAAUCAGGAGUAUAGUACCCUAACCACUAGGCCACACGCCUUCGUGUGUGUAUCAUAAUCAUUGGUUAACAUCUGUCUUUCAUGUAAGCAUGGAGUGGACAGCUCGACAGAAUACAGUAAUAAGUCAGAAGAUUGGGUUGGGCUCCUGUGUGUGUGUGUGGUAUACCAUGCACCUGUUCAGGUAACAUCGAGUUAAUGGAAGGUGUGAGCUGAUGUACAGCACGUACGUUUGCUCACAAUAAACAAAUCAUUUGCAUAGCUUGUUCGACAAGAAAUUGCAGAACUGUCCUUCUUGGACUACGAGAGACUACCAUCGUGUGUGUGUGUAUGUUUCUGUAUCAUCAUCAUCAUCAUCAUCAUCAUUAUUUAAUGUCCGUUUUCCAUGCUGGUAUGGGUUGGACAUGCUGGUAUGGCUGGUAUAGGCGGCGAGCUGGCAGAAACAGCGCGCCGGGCGAAAUGCUUAGUGGUAUCUCGUCUGCCACUACGUUCUGAGUUCAAAUUCCGCCGAGGUCGACUUUGCCUUUCAUCCUUUUGGGGUCGAUAUAAUCGACUUAAUCCAUUUGUCUGUCCUUGUUUGUCCUCUCUGUGUUUAGCCCCUUGUGGGUAGUAAAGAAAUAGGUAUUACGUCUGCCGCUACAUUCUGAGUUCAAAUUCAGCCGAGGUCGACUUUGCCUUUCAUCCUUUUGGGGUCGAUAUAAUCGACUUAAUCCAUUUGUCUGUCCUUGUUUGUCCUCUCUGUGUUUAGCCCCUUGUGGGUAGUAAAGAAAUAGGUAUUACAUCUGUCGCUACAUUCUGAGUUCAAAUUCAGCCGAGGUCGACUUUGCCUUUCAUCCUUUUGGGGUCGAUAUAAUCGACUUAAUCCAUUUGUCUGUCCUUGUUUGUCCUCUCUGUGUUUAGCCCUUUGUGGGUAGUAAAGAAACAGAAAUAGGGAUGGGUUGGACAGUUUUACACGGAGCUGGCUAACUGGGAGUUGUCCAGACUCCAACUGUCUUUGUGGCAUAGUCUCUAUUGCUGGAUGCCCUUCCUAACACAAACCACUUUACAGCAGAGUAUGCUGGGUGCCUUUUACAUGAUGUUUGCACAUCACUGGCAUGGGUGCUUUUUAGGUGGCACUGGCACCUGAAAAGACAAGUCUGUAUAUGUGGAAGAUAGCAAUUUUACUUAGCUUGAUGUGUCUUAUAUAUGUGUAUAUGUAUAUAUAUAUAUAUGUGUGUGUGUGUGUGUGUAUAGAUAAUUAAUAAUAUCAGGGUAAUAAAGAUUAUAGCGUAUAGAAAAAUCAGUCAAUAGACUAUAUAUUAUUCAUAUAAAAUACAGUGUACAUUUAAACACAUUAAGAGGUAUCCAUCACAGGACUCCCUUACGCUAGAAGGAACAGCUAAAGUCCAAACCACUAAUUAGGCAUAAAUUCUCAAAGGGAAUGAAAAAUACAAAUAUUUACCAUCUAUUUCCUGGACCAUGGUUUCUGACUUUUUUUUCAGCAAAUAAAAUAAUUUGCCUAGAAAUAGAUGGUAAAUGUUUUUAUUUUUCAGUCCAUUCGAGAAUUUAUCCCUAAUUAGUGGUUUGGACUUUAGCUGUUCCUUCUAGCAUAAGGGAGUCCUGUGAUGGAUACCACUUAAUGUGUUUAAAUGUACACAUAUGUAGAUAUAUGUAUAUGUAGGUAUUCUUUUAUUUGUUUCAGUCAUUUGACUGCAGCCAUGCGGGAGCACUGCCUUUAGUCGAAGAAAUCAACCCCAGAACUUAUUCUUUGUACGCCUAGUACUUAUUCUCUCGGUCUCUUUAGCUGAACCGCUAAGUUACAGGGACGUAAACACACCAGCAUCGGUUGUCAAGCGAUGUUGAGGGGACAAAUACAGACAUACAAAUACAUAUAUAUAUAUAUAUAUAUAUAUAUAUAUAUAUAUAUAUAUAUAUAUAUAUAUAAUACAUAUAUACAUAUAUACAACGGGCUUUCAGUUUCCGUCUACCAAAUCCCCUCACAAGGCUUUGGUCGGCCCGAGGCUAUAGUAGAAGACACUUGCCCAAAGUGUCACGCAGUGGGAUGGAACCCGGAACCAUGUGGUUGGUAAGCAAGCUACAUACCACACACCGACUCCUGCACCUAUGUAUAGGUAUAUAUAUAUACACAUAUAUAUUUAAGCAUACGUAGGUAGAUAUAUAUAUAUAUUUAUCAAUAUAUGUAUGUGUAUAUGUAGGUAUAUAUAAAUGUAUAUGUAUGUAUGUAUAUGUGUGUGUGUAUAUAUAUAUAUAACUAUAUGAAUGUAUGUUGCAUGUAUUAUAUGUGUGUGUGCUGCAGUCUAUAUUUCUAUUCUUUAAUUCAGCAGACCUUUCUUAGUUAUCAAUUAUACAUUCUGAUUCUGACAAAAGAAUUAUCAUCUAUUUCUAUAAAAUUCCCUAAACACUCCAAAAUUAACACUUCCUCUCCUGCUAUCUCUCUGUUGUCUAUCUUUAUGUAAGUUCAAAUAUCCUUAUUCCCAUUUUAGAUGGGAUAAAGCCGACGUUCCUCUCCUCAUCACUCCCCUCUUCAGAAUAUUUCAAAUAUUUUUUUUUUUUUUUAUUAACCAACCCAAAAUUCUAGAAUUCUUUAUGAAUUUGUUGUAUUCUAUAGCAAAGAAAUUUAUAGAUUCUCCAUAGAUUUAUUGGCAAAAUUUACUUUUAUAUCAGUAUUGCAUUCAUCGCAUCUCGUCCCAGCAUCCUCUAUUCACUGCAUCCUUGCUCUAGCAAUCUCUUGCCCUGUUUAGUCUGUUCAUUGUGUUUGCAACUUCAACAUUCUUUUCAUUUUCUCUUGUUCGCCCAUUUAAACCCAUCCCAGCAAUUCUUCUGUUUUCAUUUUUCUUUUUCCUUCUUUUUUUGCUUUUCUUCUCUGUUUUUAUAAUUAUUUGGAACAUUAUCUCUGCAUUUUACUAUUUUCUUUUUAUAUGAAAAAUAUGUUUUUUGUUCUCUUCUCUUCCAUAAAUAUUCAACUUUCUGAGAAAGUAUUAUCCUGAUUAUUAUUAUUAUUAUUAUUAUCAUUAUUAUUAUUAUUAUUAUUAUCAUUAUUAUUAUUAUUAUUAUUAUUAUCCUCCUCCUCCUCCUCCUCCUCAUCAUCAUCAUACUCAUCAUCAUCAUUAUUAUCAUUAUUAUUAUUAUUAUUAUUAUUAUUAUUUUUACCAUCAUCGUCAUCAUCAUCACCAUCAUCAUCAUUAUAGUGGUAGUAGCAGUUGUAUCAUUUUAAAACAUCAGUUUUAUUUCUUUGAGACACUUAAAAAUAAUUUAAUGUUUGGAAAAUAUUUUCUUUAACAAAAAAAACAAAACGUAAUGAAAUAUAAGAAUAAAAUAGAAUAAACUCUACAUAUUUCUCUUUUUUGUCUGAGACAAAGUUACGCUUAUAUAUUUUGUUUUUCAUUCUUCAAGAUGUAAUCCAAUCUGUUUUCAUUCUCAUUGUAUGCAUAUGACAUUUGUUAAUAUUAUAAAUUGAGGUAGAAUUAAUGUUAAAGUUAUGGAAUUCACAUCUAAACUCUGUCUGCACACGUCCAGGCACACAAACCUUGGUUCAUGACCUGUCUGAUGAUUACCAAAUUUGGGAUGGAUUAGCUUCUGGACUGAGAAACAUUUUUCGUAAUUAACCCUCUCAGACCUGGGCCCGUUUGUCUAACUUUACCCUCCAAUCGGGUCCCCAAGCAAAAAAAAUAAUUAGAUGCAUAUAAAGAGUGAAAACCCCCUUCGGUCACAAACGACCACAUGAUUGCACCUAGAAAUUUCCCCUCUGAGGCACAAGUCCGGGCAAGGUUGUUUAUGGAAGACCAGCAGUCACCCAUGCAUACCAGCCUUCCCUCUCUAUGCCACCACUGUUAUCCAAAGGAAAGGCAAAAGCUGAUACAGCUUGGCACUAGUGAACUGGAGCAACAUGAAAUAAAGUGUCUUGCUCAAGAACUCAACACAACACAGCCCAGUCAGGGAAUCGAACUCACUACUUCAUGACUGCGAGCCUGACGCUCUAACCACUGAGCCACUUGCCUUCAUAUAUAUAUAUAUAUAUAUAUAUAUAUAUAUAUAUAUAUAUAUAUAUAUAUAUAUAUAUAUAUAUAUAUAUAUAUAUAUAUAUAUCAUCAUCAUCAUCGUUUAACGUCCGUUCUCCAUGCUAGCAUGGGUUGGACAUAUAUAUAUAUAUAUAUAUAUAUAUAUAUAUAUAUAUAUCAUCAUCAUCAUCGUUUAACGUCCGUUCUCCAUGCUAGCAUGGGUUGGACAUAUAUAUAUAUAUAUAUAUAUAUAUAUAUAUCAGCCUUGCCUGGCCCCCGUGCCGGUGACAUGUAAAAAGCACCAUCCGUCCAUGGCCGUUUGCCAGCCCCGUCUGGCACCUGUGCGGGUGGCACGUAAAAAGCACCCACUACACUCACGGAGUGGUUGGCAUUAGGAAGGGCAUCCAGCCGUAGAAACACUGCCAGAUCAGACUGGGCCUGGUGCAGCCUUCUGGCUUCCCAGACCCCAGUUGAACCGUCCAUGGAAAGCUAGCAUGGAAAGCGGACGCUAAAUGAUGAUGAUGAUGAUGAUGUAUAUGUAUAUGUAUAUGUAUGUAGGCAGACACAUGGUUGUGUGGUAAGAAGUCCCAACCACAUGGUUCUAAGUUCAAUCCCGCUGUAGUACCUUGGACAAGCAAUCUUUUUACACUUAGAAAUUUCUGGCCAUUUCGAGAAACUAUUAACUACCACUAAGUAGUAAGAACCAUUUAAAAGACCAACGAAAUCGAUGUGUAGUCUUGACCAUGGGACAUCUACUAUUGAACAUUGUUUACUUUUUAUCGUGGGCAAUUUUUCAUUUCGUUUUGGCUUACAUACCAUUGUUCCUCUCUGUUUUACUGCAAUUUUUUGUUUCAGUCCCUCAGUCAUAUUCAAAACUUCCACUGAACUGACUAUAUUUCCAUACAAAACACCUAUGGACGUAUUCCACAAUUUGACUUGUUCCAUCCACUCUGUACCAAAUACAUUAAGUGAAUCUUUUAAUACAUAUAUCUUUGCUUUUUCAUUUGACCUCUAAAUGUUACAUUACAUACAAAUUCACUGAAGAAAUUUAAUCAUUUUCCCAUAACACCAUGUGCUACUUUUUUAGAUUUAAUCAACUUUGUCUUACCGACAUAUUUCCAAGUUUUUACGUUUAUAAUGGUGAUAUCACUACCAAUGUCCAAUUGCAUUUUAACACUUGUAUUUCUGAUUUUCACCUUCACGAAUUUCCUCAUCGUUAUAUUACCAAUUUCUUUCGAUGACAUACUAUUUAUUCUUUCUCCUUCUGACAUUUUGUCACCUUCGUUCUACAGUGCAUCUUUAUACGUCCUAUAUUUCCACAACAAAAGCACUCCGCUUUCUUAAAUGAACAGUUUUUCUUCAAGUGUAUACCUCCACAUAGAAAACAUGGGUUUACUUUCUGAUUUUUGUUCUGUUUUUUAGAAAACAUUUUAUCUCUAUUCUAGCUAUUCUUGCUUUUCUUGGAAACAAUCUUUACAUUUAAUUUCCUCUGUGUUGUGUCUUAAUUUGACCAUCCUUUCACAUUCUUCUGACACUUGCUGUAGGGUUACAUCCUGGUUUUGUUCCAGCUUUGUCAGAAUUCUAGUUCUAUCUUCUGCAUCCUUUUCGGCAGUAAGUCCCUGUGUAAAAAUCAGGCAUUUGAACAUAUCUGGCUUUAAUUCGUCCAGUUUAAACUUCUCACAUUCCCUCUUUACUCUACCAGCAUAUGCUCUUUUACUCUUUUACUUGUUUCAGUCAUUUGACUGCGGCCAUGCUGGAGCACCGCCUUUAAUCGAGCAACUCGACCCCGGGACUUAUUCUUUUGUAAGCCCAGUACUUAUUCUAUCGGUCUCUUUUGCCGAACCGCUAAGUAACGGACACAUAAACACACCAGCAUCGGUUGUCAAGCAAUGCUAGGGGAACAAACACAGACACACAAACACACACAUGCAUACAUAUAUAUAUACAUAUAUACAAUGGGCUUCUUUCAGUUUCCGUCUACCAAAUCCACUCACAAGGCUUUGGUCGGCCCGAGGCUAUAGUAGAAGACACUUGCCCAAAGUGUCACGCAGUGGGAUGGAACCCGGAACCAUGUGGUUGGUUAGCAAGCUACUUACCACACAGCCACGUGAUAUCAUCCUUGUCGUUUUUCUCAUUGUUCAGGCACUUCCAACGUUUGUCGAACAAUGAGCUUUCUUCACUGAAAAUUUUACACAAUAUACCUAUUGUGUCAUUAAAGUUUAUGUCCGAAGGUUUUCUCGGGAGUACAUAAUUACUGUAUCAUUCAUGUUCUGUUGCCACCAGUUUUCUCAAGAUUAAGUGCAUUUUAAUCUCAUCAUCUUAAUCUUUACGUUCUUUCUCAAAGAUUUUCUCAUAACCUCUGUAGUAUGCUUCGAAAGUAACUCCUUCGUCAGGUUUGUACUUGAAUUCGGUUAUGGAGUUUGCAAUAUAGUCUGGUGAGAACACUUUUUCUGAAUUUCCUGAUGACUUCAUUAAUUGUAGCAUUUGUUGCUGUAAUAGUCAUUGUUGUUGUUCUUUCAGUUGUUGUUGUUGUUGUUGCUGUUUUUGCAACUCGAACAAACUGGCAAACAAAUUUUCCAUAAUUUUUACGAUUUUUUUCUCCAUGAAAUUCACACAACAAAACUUAGUGAGUUUGUUAACUUCUCAUGAGUUGUUUAGAUCCUCGGCAAGUUUAUUAAUUCCUCAACAAUCAUCUUCGGUUUCAAGACGAAAGGUGUUCUUCUAUCAGGAUAAUGCUUGGCCACACACAGCAAGGAUAUCAUUGCAAAGGCUGGAGCAGUUUGAAUGGGAAGCAAUGCUCCACCCACCAUAUUUGCUGGACAUUGCCCCAUUUGAUUAACAUUUAUUCUGCUGUAUUCAAAAUCAUUUGGAAGGAAAAAAUAUGAACUUCGUAGACGAGGUCAAAACAGUACUGGAGGAGCAUUUUUCAUCACAGACAAGUGAAUGUUAAAAGAGGGGCCUUGCAAGUCAACCAGAUAGUUGGAAGAGCAUUGUAGAAAAUGAAGGAGAGUAUAUUUUAGACUAAAAAAGAAAUUUAUCUAAAGUUUAAAAAAUAAAAGAAGUAUGGCGCAGGAGUGGCUGUGUGGUAAGUAGCUUGCUUACCAACCACAUGGUUCCGGGUUCAGUUCCACUGUGUAGCACCUUGGGCAAGUGUCUCCUACUAUAGCCUUGGGCUGACCAAAGCCUUGUGAGUGGAUUUGGUAGAUGGAAACUGAAAAGAAGCCUGUCGUAUAUAUGUAUAUGUAUAUAUUUGUGUGUGUGUGUGUGUUUGUAUGUCUGUAUUUGUCCGCCCCGAAAUUACUUGACAACCGAUGCUGGUGCGUUUACGUCCCCGUAACUUAGCGGUUCGGCAAGAGAGACCGAUAGAAUGCGUACUAGGCUUACAAAGAAUAAGUCCUGGGUUCGAUUUGCUCGACUAAAGGCGGUGCUCCAACAUGGCCGCAGUCAAAUGACUGAAACAAGUAAAAGAGUAAAUGAGUAAAUAGAGUAUGAAAAAAACUGCAUUAUUUAUGGGAUGACCCAAUAUAUAUAGGUAGGUAGGAAGAUUGUAAAGAUUUUACAGUUUGGGGAAGUGAGCUAACGAGGCGAGUUGUUGUCACAAAGUGAAUGCAGCGUUUGUGAUCAAUAAUCUUGUGACAGAUGCAGGUUUAUGUUUUCUUAAGUAUUUCAGUUAGGCUGAGUUUUCUGUUUCAAGUAGAUUUAAAUAAUCCAUCUUUUUCACCAUCUUUUUAUUCUAAUUCUGAAUCUAUACAAUUUCAACCUUACCUGUUCUUACACUACCUGACAAUUGAAAAAUUCCUGGUAAAGUAAUUUCAGGAAACUGUAUCUUUUUUUUUUCUUUCCAUCUUGUGUUGUUUUGUUUGUAUUCGGAAUCUCUUUCUCUGUCUCUCUCCCACACAUAUGCAUACACACACACACACACACACACACACACACACACACACACACACACACACACACACACACACACACACACACACACACACACUAUGUGUCUCUCUCAUAUUCAAUAUAUGUAUCUCUUGAUAAGCAUUGGUGUUAAAACCUUUUAUCCUUUACAGGGAUAUUCACAAAAUAUUCAAGAAGUGCCCUGAAAGAAAAGUUGGGCAUAAAAAGCAUCAAAUGUGGUGUGCAAGAGAGGCGACUGCACUGGUAUGGCCAUGUGUUAUGUAUGACUGAAGACAGCUGUGUGAGGAAAUGCCACUCCCUAAAUGUAGAAGGAACCUGUAGAAGAGGUAAACCCAGGAAGAUAUGGGAUGAGGUGGUGAAGCAUGACCAUCGGACAUUGGGCCUCACAGUGGCAAUGACAUGUGUGUUUGUGUGUCUGUGUUUGUCUCCCUAUCACUUGACGAUCAAUGUUGGUAUGUUUACGUCCCUGUAACUUAGCGGUUCGGCAAAACAGACUGAUAAAAUAAGUACUAGGCUUACAAGGAAUAACUCCUGGGGUUGAUUUCUUCGGGUAAAACCCUUUAAGGCGGUGAUCUAGCAUGGCCGCAGUCAAAUGACUGAAACAAAUAAAAGAAUAAAAGAAUGUGUGUGUGUGUGUGUGUGUGUUUGCCCCGCUCCACUGCUUGCCAAUUAGUGUUGAUGUGUUUAUGUCUCCUGUAACUUAGCGGUUCAACAAAAGAAAUCAAUAGAAUAAGUACCAGACUUCAAAAAAAAAAAUCAAGUGCUGGGGUCGAUUUAUUUGACUAAAAUUCUUCAAGGCGGUGCCCCAGCAUGGUCACGGCCUCAUGACUGAAACAAGCAAAAAAGCUGAAUAUAUUAUUUGGUUGUUGGCCAACUGAAAUCACAUGGCGUCAUCAUUCAUGUUAAAGGAAUUUGAUGGAGAUUUUUAAUUUAUAUAUGAACGCUUUUGUAUAAGCAGUCUCUAGCAGUUUGGUAUUUAAAGAGUCAAGGAGUUUUUCAGAUUUUGGAAUUUAUAUCUUUGUGUUAGAAUUAAGCAAAGUUUUUGUAGAAAUUUGAGUGCGAUAUCCAUAAUUUACAUUGUCGUGCUGUCAUCUGUGAGAAUAAGACGAGCAAAUUUUUUUUAUGUGUGCGUUCUGACUAAACUAGUUGCAAUGAUAAUAUAUAAUUAUCUACUCACAAAGAUUGCAUUGAAAAUUGUGUUGAAUUGCUCUUUUAUUAUAUUCAGUGAAGCUCUGUAUUGGAUUGUUGUGUGUGUUUUAUAAGUGUUUUUUAAAUGUUUUUAUAUUUAAAAAUAAAUUGUAUUUUAUUUAAUAAAGCCAUCCAUCUUGGUAGCAGGCUGUUAAAUAAUUGUGCUGUUCAUGUGAGAGCAAAAUAGCCAACUCUUCAUCAUCAUUUUAAUUUCUAAUUUCCCAUGGGUUGAAUGGAGUUUGUUGAGGUAGAUUUUACUAUGGCUGGAUGCUCUUCCUGUUGCCAACUCUCACUUAUUUUGAAGCUAAAUAAUAUUUCUCAUAUGUAUAUAAAUAUAUAUAUAUAUGUAUGUGUGUGUGUGUGUGUGUGUAUAUGCAUGUGUAUAUGUGUGUAUAUAUAUAUAUAUAUAUAUAUAUAUAUAUACACACACACAUAUAUAUAUAUGCAUGUGUAUAUAUAUGUGUGUGUGUAAUUAUACAUAUAUACGCACAUAUACAAAUACACAUAGACAUACAUGCACACACACACACACACACACAUAUAUAUAUAUAUAUAUAUAUAUAUAUAUAUAUAUAUGAUGGGCUUCUUCACAGUUUCCAUCUACCAAAUUCAUUCACAAUACUUACACUUGGUGCUGCUCAGUGGGACUGAACCUGGAACCACAUGGUCACAUGGCAAGCUUCUUAACCUCACAACUCACCUUCAUCUAUUUCCUUUGAAUUAUUUUUUCUCUCCGUCCACCUUUAUCCUGUUUUCUUGUCUUAUAAAUGUCUAAUGAAUUUCUUCAAAAUUUUUUCCAUUCUACUCAAAAAUCUAAUUUUUCUUGACAUAAUUUGGUUCUGUCAAAGAACUCUUAGACCACUUUUCAUUGUGAUUGCUGAAUACUUUGCAUUUGGGUAACCAUAUAAUUAUUACUAAAAUGUUUUGGAGAAAGCCAAGUUUGAAUUCCUGAGUUUUAACGUUCAGAAAGAAGCCAGGCACCAAAAGCUUUAUCAACAUCUUGCCUCUCCUGCGAUUGCUGAUGUAAUUCCAUUCACAUAUUUUGAAUGAUUCUUCCUAAAUUUCUACAUACAUAUUGGACUGAUUCCAGCUUGAAAACUAACCAUUCUUUCAUUCUGCUAGACACACAAACAUACACACACACACACACACACACACACACACACACACACACACACACACACACACACACACACACACUGUCACAUACACACAUAUAUGCAUUCACAAACAUGUUGACUCACUCACACACACUUGUACACACACGAACUCAUACACUCAUACAGGCUUGCGCACACUCUCAUAUGCACACACACACACACACACACUCACGCUCGCUCACACACACACAUUCUUACAUGCACUCACUCACACAUGCACUCACUCACACAUGCACACACAUGUUCACAAACUUGUACUCACGCUCACACACACACACAUACAUGCACUUAUACAUAUACAUACACCCACUCACACACACACACACAAUAUCUGCAUCAUUCUUCUAUCACCGUAACUGCACAAAAGUCGGUUCGUUAUUUUUUUCCUUUUUUUCUGUUUUCUCCUUCAUAAAGAACCUACAAAUAAUGACAUUUUCCCUCAUUCCUCAUCACCAUCAACCAUCAACCAUCAACCAUCAACCAUCACCAUCACAAUAUCGACACGCUUCCAAACAGAGCGAUUUCUCUCAAACCAACUUCCUUAUUUCUUUUCCUUUCUCUACAUGGAACACAUACCAUUUUCGCAUAUAUUGCCUCUAAUAGUUGAAAUUAAAGAUUGACGAAUGUUAGUUCUUCUUCUUCUUCUUCUUUGUCUUCUUCUUCUUUUCGCUUCUUUCACUCUCUAUCAUUUUGGGGUUCUUUCAGUACUUGGAGAUAUAACCUAGUUUUUCUGGAGGCAGCUUUUGCUCUGUUGAUUCAAUUAUAUAUUCUAAAUUAGGUCAGUGAGGAACUUGGAUGUAGUGCAAAAACCGGCAGCAAAAGCUAGGAAUGUCUUUUAAUUUCUUUCUUACUUUUCGUCGUUGUUUUCGUUCUUUUUUUUUUAUAUUUAUUUUCCUUUUCUGGUUGCAUAUUGAUUGCCAGUAGGUUCCAUUUCAUCGGGCAUCUUUGGUUAAGAAUGAGCAAUGAGAACUAGAUGAGUAAAAACACUAAGAGAAAGUGAAUGGUUCUUUAUAUUUUUUUUUUAAAGAAAAUAUGCAAAAGAAAAAAUAGGACAAAAAAAAAAAAAGGAAAAAAUUGUGUUGGCUUAAAUGAGAAUUAGAGAAAAUGUCUUAGCAGGUUAAUUGGAUAUAUGUAUCUAACGACUUUAGGAAACUAAGAAGCGAAUACUAUGAUGGCUGACAUUAGAAGUUUGGGACUAAUUGAGAAAGUAACUCAAGUACAGAGGCAUUAGGUAGUUAUUGAAUGUCUGCGAUAUUUGUUUGGUUGUAAGUAGCAUUGGAAAAUAUCAGAACAUACAACCACAGGCAUGGCGGUGUGGUUAGAAGCUUUGGCAUGGUUUCUAAGGCUGGAUGCCCUUCCUAACACCAACCACUUUACAGUGUGUACUGCUUGUUUUUUUUUUUUUUGUGGCACCAGCAUUAGUGAGGUUGCCAAGUAACCUAGAAGACAGGGACAAAAAAAAAGAAGGGAAAAACCAUUCUUGAUUAAGUGGGGUGGAGUACUUGAGAGGUGGGGAGGUGGUUUUAUGCCAGUUAUUGGGAAGUUAAUGCAUGUUGGUGAGACAAGUGCAGGUGUGUCCCCAUAGAGAAAAUAUCCUGCAUUAUUAUAUAAUGAUGGAUGGGAGCAGCCGGAAAAAAGAUCUUUCCUGCUCUAGGCACAAGGCCUGAAUUUUGGGGGAAGGGGCCAGUUGAUUAGAUCGACCCCAGUACGUAACUGGUACUUAAUUUAUUGACCCUGAAAGGAUAAAAGGCAAAGUCGACCUCGGCAGAAUUUGAACUCAGAACGUGAAGACAGAUGAAAUACCCCUAAGCAUUUUGCCUGCAUGCUAACGAUUCUCCCAGCUCUCCGAUGUUGCCAGACUAUCAGAUGUUAUACAUCCCUGGUCACAGUGUACUUUGCUUCAUUUUAGCUUUCAAAUGAUGGUACCUCUCUGGCUCGGCAAGCAGGCCAACAUUCUUUCUCCAUCAGAAGGCCCCCUUGUGACAGGGUGACCUAUUUUCAGGUGAGUGGACUGGAGCGACAUGAAAUGAAGUGUUUUGCUCAAGAACACAAUGUGUCACCCGGUCCAGGAAUCGAAACCUUGAUCUCACAAUCAUGAGUGCAAUGCACCUAACCACUAGGCCAAUUGUUUUCACAGGAAAAAAAAUAAUACUGCUAAAACUUCAAUUCUCACUUCAAGAUAAAUGUAAAAUCUAUGCAAUUGUUUAUAAAUUCUUGUGCCAUUAUUAUUAAUACUUUCUUUCUUCCAUUGAAGAAACUAUCUUUCAAAUCAGUAUAUUUUACUACAGAAGAAAUAUGAAAAUCAGCUCUCCCUUGAGCUUUCAAGAAUGUUGGAUAGUCAUAUAUUUUUUUGUAGUAAAUUAUAUAAUCAUAUAUAUAAUCACACAUAUAUAUAUAUAUAAUCAUAUAUAUAUAUAAUCAUAUAUAUAUAUAUAUAUAUAUAUAUAUAUAUAUAUAUAUAUAUAUAUAUAUAUAUAUAUAUAUAUAUAUAUAUAUAUAUAUAUAUAUAUAUAUAUAUAUAUAUAUAUGUACACAUUAUUUUUAUCAAGAAUAGCUUAAGUUAAUUUUUAUAUUAUUUUUAUCAAGGAGGCUUAAAUUAGUUUUUUUUGUGUGUUUGUGUGUAUUCAUUUGUCUAAAGAACCUAUCCAAUUUCAAAUAUUUAAAGAAAUUCUUGAAAAAGGAAAAAAACAAAGAAUUUGUUGAUAUUUUAUCCAAAAGUAAUUUUGAUUCAUUCACCACAUUUUUGCUGUAGUAUUUUUAACCCCCUUAGUAUUCAAAUUACUCUGUCAAAAGUAAUCCUUAUUUAUCCACAUCGUUUGAAAUUAAUUAUGUAUUAUUUCGUAACUUUGAGAUUUCAAUGAUGUGAUUGUUUAUUUUUAGAAUGACAUUGUAGGGAAGGUGUGAGAGGCCAGAUCUGGCCAGUUUGAACAUAAAACAGGUACAAUAUUUGGGCCUGGUGUGGCUGGGUUUAAAUGCUUGAGGCUUAAGUUGUGGAUGCCAUAAAGCAUUUAAUCAAAAGAUUAAGUGAUUGUACCAAAUCCAUUGUUACCAGUGUCGCCUUACUGGCACUUGUGCCGGUGACACUUGAAAAUCAGCAUUUGAGCAAGGUCGUUGCUAGUGCCGCUGGAUGGGCUCCUGUGCAGGUGGCACGUAAAAACACCAUUUGAGCAUGGCCAUUGCCAGUACUGCCUGACUGGUCCUUGUGCCAGUGGCACGUAAAAGCCCCCACUAUACUCUCUGAGUUGUUGGUGUUAGGAAGGGCAUCCAGCUGUAGAAACUCUGCCAGAUCAGAUUGGAGCCUGGUGCAGCCAUCUGGCUAACCAGUCCUCAGUCAAACCGUCCAACCCAUGCCAGCAAGGAAAGCGGCAGAUGAAAUACCACUAAGCAUUUCGCCCGGCGUGCUAACGUUUCUGCCAGCUCAGGUGCCCUUAAAAUACUUAAAAUUGUGGAUCCCAAAUUUACUAUUUUGUGUAAACCCCCGAAAAUCUUUUUAUGGACCCUCAGAGGUCACAUGGACUCUCAGGGCCCACAUGUUUCAGUUUCUGUCUACCAAAUCCAACGACAAGGUUUUGGUCAGCCUGAAGCUAGAGUAGAAAACACUCACCCUUGAUGCCACACACUGGAACUAAACCAAAAACCAAUGUGGUUGGGAAGCAAACUUGCGACCACACAGCCACACCGUUCUAACUAGAAUAUUCUGUGAAGUAAGUUUGAAAUGCAAGAAGUUCAACCUUGACGACUACUUGAGAUGAUUUAGAAAUUUAUAUUGGCGAUUUUCAUUUGGUAAUAUCUUUAGUUUAAAUAAAACAAUUUUUGUUAUGGUUAUUAUAAAAAAAAAUGUGAUAAAGAGAUUGUGUGAAGCACUGCUUAAUAUUAAUUUAUGUGUGUGAAGUCAAUGUUUAUAAAUAUGAAGUCAAAAUAUUUAGUUUUGAAUAAAGCUUUUAUUUUUCUUCAAGUUAUAAGAAUUCUGUAAACAUCCACAGUAUAUUAGUUGGUAAAUAAUGUCUACAGGGACUAAUUAGUAAAUAAAUUACAGGUUUUAUGUAUUAUAGAUAUAUUAUUUAUUAAUUGAUUUUUUUUUUUGUUCUCUUGAAAUACUUUUUUUUACUUGUUUAGAAAUACCAUUGCUUCUGUCUUUUAUUUUUUACAAGUCAGUGGCUGAUUUCACAAAAUUCUCAUAUUUUGCUAUGUAGAAUAUGAUUCCCAACCACAUGGUUCCAGGUUCAGUCCCACCGUGUGGCACCAUAGCCAAGUGUCUUCUACUCUAGCCUUGGGCUGAUCAAAGCCUUGUGAGUGGAUUUGGUAGAUGAAAACUAAAAGAAGCCUGUCAUAUAUAUAUAUAUAAAGUUAAUCCAAACAAGAAAACGCAAUAAAAACACAGCAACGCGAGGACGUGGAACAAAUAAAGUAUUAUUGGACGCUCAGGGAAGGAGGGUUUAACGUUUCGAGCGGAGCUCUUCGUCGGAAACAAAGGUGAAGGAAAGAUCCCGAGAAGGGAAGACAGAGGAAAAAGAAAUUGCUGGCGGUGCUCACGAGGUCACAUGUUGAAAGGAUAUAUAUAUAUAUAUAUCAUCAUCAUCAUCAUUUACAUCAGUUGAUUGAAUACCGGCUUAUAAACACCUCCCACGCUGCAUAUAAAUAUUAUAAUGCAAAUACAAAUAUAAAUUAAAUAGAUACUAUUGACAAUCCACUAAUUUAUUUAUAUCAUAACAUUACAUGAUAUACUAUGAAUAUAUCAUAACAUAAUAUUAUAUAACAUAAACAAUUAUUUUUAAAAAACCCCAUAAAAGGCCAACAAAUUGUUUCGACAUAUAUACAUUUUCUGAUAUAUAUAUAUAUAUACACAAUAACAGUUCCCUUAUGUAUAUAAGUCACUUCAAAAAUUAAUUCAGUGUGUGUGUAUAUAUAUAAUAUAUAUAUAUAGGUGUGCAUGUGUGUGUACAUGUAUGUGUAUGUGAUCAUCAUCAUCGUCACCACCAUCAUUUAACGUCCGUUGUCCAUGCUGGCAUGGUUGGAUGGUUUGACCAAGGCUGGUAAGCUGGAAGGCUGUAACAGGUUCCAAUCUGAUUUGGCAAUGUUUCUACAGCUGGAUGCCCUUCCUAAUGCCAACCACUCCAAGAGUGUAAUGGGUGCAUGCUUUUACGUGCUACCAGCAUGACACUGGUAUCUGCCACCACUGCGAUUUAUAUAUAUAUAUAUACACCCACAACUUGUUAUUAAAUACAUAUAUGUAUCUGUCUAUAUAGACAAGAUGCAUCAGAUAGUCAUUCUUCUCCCCACGUCUUCUUGCACAACAACUUUGUCUAUUUCAUCAUCACAUUCAGAAAUGUGAACACCUUAAGAAGAGAAAAAAAAAAACAGAAACCUCAUCUACAUUCUGUCUUAAUGUCUGUGUGUCUGUAUGUCUGGAAUAAUGGUUAUGUGAAAUGCAUUUCUUUGAGAAUCUCUCUGAUUUCUUCUCUUUCUUCCACUCUACCAUUCUCCUUACUCUAUCUUUAGUUUUGGUUUGUUAAUAGCAUCAACAUAGAUAAACAAUUAAGAGUUCUUUGUUAUUUACCAAUAUUGCUUUUCUUUUGGUUACAUAAUGUCUCAGAUUCCAUGAUAUAUAUAUAUAUAUAUAUAUUGGCGUGGCUGUGUGAUAUGAAGCUUGCUUCCCGACCAUAUGGUUCUGGGUUCAGUUCCACCGCAUAGCAACUUGGGUAGGUGUCUUCUACUAUAGCCUUUAGUCAACCAAAGCUUUGUGAAUGGAUUUGGUAGAUGGAAACUGAAAGAAGGCCAUUGUAUCAUCAUCAUCAUCAUCAUCAUUGUUUAAUGUCUGUUUUCCAUGCUGGCAUGAGUUGGACAGAUUGACUGAGGUCUGAAGAGCCAGUGGCUGCACCAGGCUCCAAUUUGAUCUGGCAAUGUUUCCACAGCUGGAUGCUUUUUAGGUGCCACCAGCACAUGUUUGGAUAGUGCUUUUUAUGUGCCACUGGCAUGGGAGCCAGUCAGGCAGUCUUGGCAUAUAUGUGUGUGUGUGUGCAUCUUUUUUGUCUGUGUUUUCAUGUCACUGUAACUUAGCAGUUCAGCCAAAGAAAUGAUAAAGUACCAGUCUUAGCAAAUAAAAGUACAGAGGUUAUUUCAUUUCACUAAAAAUUCUUCCAGGCAGUACCUCAGCAUGGCUGCUGUUUUAUAACUGAAACAAGUAAAAGACAAAAGAUAUAUACACACACACACAUGCACACACAUGUCCACACAUAUUUACACACAAACGGCGGCAAGCUGGCAGAAAUGAUAGCAUGCCGGGCGAAAUGCUUAGCAGUAUUUUAUCUGCUGUUACAUUCUGAGUUCAAAUUCCGCCGAGGUCAACUUUGGUUUUCAUCUUUUCGGAGUCAAAUAAAUAAGUACCAGUUACGCACUGGGGUCGAUAUAAUCAACUUAAUCCGUUUGUCCUUGUUUGUUCCCUCUGUGAGUAGCCCCUUGUGGGCAAUAAAGAAAUAACAAACAUAUAAAUCCGUGUUACAAAUAAAGAAAAGAAGUACUUAAUACACAUUAGAGAGAGAUUACAAAUUUACUACUGUCUGAGACAUCAUGCUGCUGCUACUCAGGUUCUGAGGCAUUCUGCAAUGUGAAACACUCGGGAACAACAGUGGGAUAUCUCAGAAUUUAAUAUGUACUAGCAGUAUCGCCCGGCGUUGCUCAGGUUUGUAAGGGAAAUAACUAUAAAGCAUUUUUAGAGAGUUAUAGCCAAAAAAUAGCAAAAAAAUGGAAAACAAAUGAUGGUAAAUUUUUUUUGAGAGUUAAAAAAGGUAGAGUUGCGUCCCCUAGACGGUCUGUGGUUUGGGUUUCUAAUUCUCGACCCCAUGUCGAAUUUAUCGAUUUUUUUCAGAACUGGGGGAACUUUUCAAAAUUUUCGCUGCGUUAGUUUUGAAUUAUGACAUUGGGCUAUGUGUGUGUCAAGUUUCAUCAGAAUCGGUUGAAAGCCGUGGUCAGAGUGAGGGUACGAGAAAACAGACACACAGAAACACACACAGACAAACUGCCGUUUAUAUAGAGAGAGAUGUCUGUCGUCCGUUUGGUUUCCCUCCUUAUCCUCAUCAGUCAUUACGAAUGUUGCAUUAGUGGUCAAAAAGGGGUUCCUAUGAAGGAUCUCUGGAGUAACAUUAGUCUAAAGCUAUGUUUCUCAACUGGGGUCCAUGUGGCCCCUCAGAGUCCAUGUGACCCCUGAGAGUCCAUGUGACCCUUGAGGGUCCAUAAAAAGAUUUUCGGGGGUUUACACAACAAAAUAGUAAAUUGGGGAUCCACAAUUUUAAGUAUUUCAAGAGCACCUGAAAAAAUUUUGCUUUAGAGAUGUUUUUAUUGAUUAUGUUUUACAAGAAACAGGUAGGUUUCUUUCCUCGACAUUUUACAUGGUUCAACCUCCAAAAGUUAAUGUGUGAAAAACAAAAUAAGAAUUUUGAAAGAAGUUUCUAUAAAACUAGUUUUUUUCUAAACAUCAAAUGACUAUGGUGGUCCACCAGAAUGAAAUAGUAAUCAAAGGGGUCUUCAGAUAAAAAAUGGUUGACAACCUCUGCUCUAAAGAGUGAAUAAGCUCAGAGAUUAAGGUCAGGUUCAGCUGCUCGGGGUCAAGUCAAGCCACUACUUCUAUGCAUUGAGAGGUCAGCUUUGGUACUACAGACAUGCGACUAAAAUGUUGAAGGAAAUAAUCCCAAGAUGGGUUCUUUAAGCCAACCGAUAGGAGAUGAAGGGUUAGGGCAUGAGCGAGAUGGUUGGACAACAUCCAGAGUCUCAGUUGGUGGCACUUUGGAAUCCAGCUGGUCAGUUUAAUGAUGGUUGUUUUGAAUUGGACCCAAUGUAUGUAUAAAUAUGUAUGUAUGUAUAUCUAUCUGUCUAUCUACCUAUCUGCAUACACGCACAUACACACACGCUCAAGUAUAAUCAGCCAAAAUUGCGAAGACAAUCUGGUACUUGACUGAGGAAAGAAAACUUCGAAUGAUCCAUUCUUGUUUUCUUUGUAUCGUCUAUCUGGAUGUUUUGUUGUCCCAUUUUUGUAUCACCUAACUGUCCAGAUGUUUAGCGUUCUUGUCCCGCACGUAAAAAGCACCCACUACACUCAUGGAGUGGUUGGCAUUAGGAAGGGCAUCCAGCUGUAGAAACUCUGCCAGAUAAGACCGGAGCCUGGUGCAGCCUUCUGGCUUCCCAGAUCCCCGGUCGAACCGUCCAAACCAUGCUAGCAUGGAGAACGGACAUUAAACGAUGAUGAUGAUGAUGAUGAUGAUGAUGAUGAUGAUGAUAUAUAUAUAUAUAUAUAUAUAUAUAUAUAAGCACAUAUGCACAGAGAGACACACAUAUAUAUCAAUAGAUGGAGCUUACUGUGAUAGCUGUAUGAUUCUCUGAACCCAUAACUAUCCUCUCUUCCCUCCCCCUCUCCCCUUCCCUUCUCUCUUUCUCUCCCUCUCUCUCUAUAUAUACAUAUUUAUAUAUAUGUGUGUGUAUAUAUAUAUGUAUGUGUGUGUGAAUAUAUAUGUGUAUAUAUGUAUGUAUUUAUGUGUGUGUGUAUAUGUAUAUAUAUAUAUAUGUCUAUGUAUGUAUAUGUAUUUAUAUAUGCAUGUGUACACAUUUGUUUGUUUAUAUAUAUAUCUUCAUUAUUCCAUCACUUAGAGAGUGAGCAAAAUAAUUUUUCCAUUUUAAAUUCCAUGGACGUAAAACCAGAUAACUGGAAACCGUUUCUCUAUCUUCUUAUGAUUCAUCAAUAUAAUAGAAUUCCCUAUUUUUAAAUGGUACCAGAGUUCUGAACAUGCUUUGUCAGAUCACUGCUAUCAAACCUUCAUCCUUCUUAGCUACCUAUAUCUAUCAAUCUAUCCCUCUCUGAUAUUGAUAGCUGAUCUAAAAGUUGGUUUUGGCAUCACAGCCGACAAUGAUGGCUUCUUACCAAUGUUUUCAAACCAUUCUGCUAGAGCUGCUGUUGGUUAGCUGAAAAUAGCUUAGAUUAAGUGAGCCUCUCCUUCCCCCAUACUAACUCGCCUCUCUUCAAUUCCUUUUCUCUCUCUUACUCUCUGUCUCUCUCUCUAUCUCUCUCUCCUUCAUUCUCUCCUUCUGUCUCUCUCUCUCCGUAUAUCUCAAUCUCUGACAAGCAUGUUGCAGAACUAGCUGCUGUCCGACAAGAAGCGGCACCAUCAGCGGUGCAGACGUGAAUAACUCUGACCUGAAUCUAUUUAAUGACUGGUCUGGCUAAGGUGGGAGUGACUGCCGCGACAACGAUCGCGAUGGCGGCAGCAGCAACGGUGAUGGUAAUAGUAGUAGUAGUAGUAGUAUUAGUAGUAGUAGUAGUAGCAGCAGCAGCAGAGGCAGUCAGUACAAAAGAGGAGAAAAGGAAUAGUUUAUUUACUUACGAGUUCUUAAUACUUUUCAUGUAAGCAUAUAUAUACAUAUGUAUAUACAUAUACCAUCGUCAUCAUCAUCAGACAUCCGUUGUCCAUGCUAUACACACACAUAUAUAUAUAUAUAUAUAUAUAUAUAUAUAUACACACAUAUGUCUGACAAUGGCUUAGCUGGUUGAAACUUCGAAGUCAUUGUCAAUAAAAUUCUUGUAUAAGAAAAAUAAAUUUGUACUCUACAAAAGUACAGAGUAACCCAUCAGAUUGAUGUAAAAUUGUUUUUAUUUUAACUGAACAGAAAAACAUUAAAAUAUAUAUAUAUAUAUAUAUAUAUAUAUAUAUAUAUACACACACACACACACACAUACACGUAUAUACAUGCAUAUAUAUAUAUAUAUAUAUAUAUAUAUAUAUAGUUAAUCCAAACAAGAAAACACAAAAAGACACAGCAACGCAAGGACAUGGAACAAAUAAUGUAUUAUUGGACGCUCAGGAAGGAAGGGAAGAAGGAGGGUUUAACGUUUCGAGCGGAGCUCUUUGUCGGAAACAAAGGAGAAGGAAAGAACCCGAGAAGGGAAGACAGAGGAAAAAAAAUUGCUGGCGGUGCUCACGAGGUCACAUGUAUAUAUAUGUGUGUGUAUAUAUAUAUAUAUAUAUAUAUAUAUAUAUAUAUGUAUGUGUUGUAUGUGUGUGAUUGUCAUAUGUGCCUCAUACUUUUUGUAGACGUGCCUCUGUGUGUGUGGUAGGUGUUGAAUUAGGAGUUGAUAUUUGUGUAUAAAUAUUAGCACAUUAUAACCAAGAGAUAUGCAUUUGUGUACUGUCCUAUGAUUUGUGUGUGUAUGUGUGUGUGUGUGUAUAAUGUGCAAAAGGAGAAGUAGAUAGGCAGCCAACAACUGAUGAAGGGUCCUCUCUGUCUUUACUUGUCCUGUUUUCCAUUUUUUCUCAUUGUUUACAUACUUAACUCAUUUGUAUUUCGUGUUAUUUGCACUGUUGGUGACAUCCUGUGCCCAUAUAUGCCUGUGUGUGUAUGUGUAUAUAUAUAUAUAUAUAUAUAUAUAUAUGUCUGCAUAAAUCUUUUAUAGUGUUUUGUGUAUAUGUAUGUAUGUACGUGUGUGUGUGUGUGUAUAUAUAUAUAUAUAUAUAUAUAUAUAUAUAUAAUAUAAUAUCUAUUGGGACUAUCCAUCUAUACUGUAUCAUAUAACAUUUAAUUUGCAUAAGAUAAUUCUAAUGGUGGAGCUGAUAGCCUUGUAUUUCAAGUUGCAACCAUCUUCUCAUGUUUCUAUUCACAUAUUUAUUUAUUUAUUUAUUCAUUCACUGGUGCAGUUGAAUAGUUAAUUGCUUGACCUUUGAGUGAUCAGAAGCAUCUAUCAAUGGGUGAUCGACCCUAUUGGUUUUUUUUUUUUUUUUUAUCUAAUGGGAGGUAAUAAUUGCCAAUAUUGAUCCCAUUACUCAACUAGUACAUAUUUUAUAUAAUUCUUAGUAGGAUUUGAACUCAGAACAUAAAGAGCCCUAGCUAAAUAAGCCCAAGAGAUUUUGUCCGAUCCUCUGAUGAUUUUGGCCUGUGCACCUCCCUGUUCUCAUGUUAGCUAGUUGAUAUUUGCUUUCAUCCAUAGGCACAUGACUUGUUAUGUUUCUUAGACUGGUGGUGCUGUUGCUGCUGGUAGCUUCUAAGUCAGAAUAAAGUAAAUGAGGAAUAAAUCUUCCUUCUGUGAACAUCAGGGAUUCUGAACCAUUUUUUUGUCCAUGGACACCUUUGAUUACUAUUUUAUUCUGGUGGACCCCCAUAGACAUUCGAUGUUUAAAAACUAGUUUCAUAGAAACUUCUUUCAAAAUUCCUAUUUUGUUUUUCACACCUAUUUCUUUACUACCCACAAGGAGCUAAACGCAGAGGGGACAAACUAGGACAGACAAAUAGAUUAAGUUGAUUACAUUGACCCUAGUGCGUAACUGGUACUUAAUUUAUCGACCCCAAAAGGAUGAAAGGCAAAGUCGACUUUGGCGGAAUUUGAACUCAGAACAUAGCGGUAGACGAAAUACGGCUAAACAUUUUGCCC